CAGGCUACAGGCAGGAAAUACAGUGGACGGUUGCUGCUGGAGAUUGGCGUGAGUUCUUGCGAUGUCAUGCAGGAUCAUGUAAUUACCGUCAAGAAUGCUGCCAUUCGCUGAUUGCAACUAAAUGUACAGAUGAAAGGUCCUUUUGUUUUAAUGCUAUUGAUGCAUCGCAAGUUGGUGAAACUGAUUUGUCUAGGUGGAUGCAAAAUUAGGAUUGAGUUUUACACAUGCUGUUCUCGUUGCUCCUGUCAAGGUUUGCUUCUGCUUGCCUGUGUAAAGUGUAUGCUUGCCUGUGUCACACCAGAAGCGGGAUUUUUUCUUGUUUGACUUUGUGUUCUUGACCUCGGACCAUGAGGUAUAAGCUCCAUUGCAUGGUGGGUUAUCUCAAAACGAUCAUGUGGAAGAGUAUAUGG